rnacentral:rRNA from 1 species
UACGUAGGGUGCGAGCGCUGCCCGGAUUUAUUGGGCGUAAAGGGCGCGUAGGCGGCUCGGCACGUCCGUUGUGAAAUCGCCCGGCUCAACUGGGCGGGGUCAGCGGAUACGGUCGAGCUUGAGCAAGCUAGGGGGCAAUGGAAUUCCCGGUGUAGUGGUGGAAUGCGUAGAUAUCGGGAGGAACACCAGUGGCGAAGGCGGUUGCCUGGAGCUUUGCUGACGCUGAGGCGCGAAAGCGUGGGGAGCGAUCCGG